rnacentral:rRNA from 1 species
UACGAAGGGUGUUAGCGUUGCUCAGAAUUACUGGGCGUAAAGAGCACGUAGGCGGGUCCGUAAGUCGAUUGUGAAAGCCCCGGGCUCAACCUCGGAACUGCCUUUGAUACUGCAAAUCUCGAGUCCGGAAGAGGUGAGUGGAAUUCCUAGUGUAGAGGUGAAAUUCGUAGAUAUUAGGAAGAACACCAGUGGCGAAGGCGGCUCACUGGUCCGGUACUGACGCUGAGGUGCGAAAGCGUGGGGAGCAAACAGG